rnacentral:rRNA from 1 species
GAUGAACGCUGGCGGCGUGCCUAAUACAUGCAAGUCGAGCGAAGCGGGGACGGGGGAGUAACACGUGGAUAACCUCCUAUAAGACUGGGAUAACUUCGGGAAACCGGAGCUAAACCGGAUACUUAAAGAAGGAUCCGCGCUGCAUUAGCUAUUUGGUAAGGUACCGGCUGACCAAGGCAACGAUGCAUGGCCGACCUGGGAGGUGUACCGGCCCAACUGGAACGGCGACACGGUCCAUACUCGUACGGGCGGCGUCAUUAGGAAAUCUUCCGCAUUGGGCGAAGGCCUGACGGAGCACCGCCGCGGGAGUGAUGAGGGUCUUCGGUUCGUAAAACUCUGUUAUUAGGGAAGCGGUACCUAAUCAGAAAGCCACGGCUAACUACGUGCCAGCCGCCGCGGUAAUAC